UCUUCGCGGGCUCCUUGACAGUGUUUUAUUUUUUUCCUCUUUUCGACGUGUACAUUAGGUACUGAGAAAGAGCACUCAUUGUGUAAUGGUUGAAACGUGUAUUUGUACACAGGCACUCAGACAGAGUUCGUUGCGUCGAGCACAACUGUGCAGACUGAGCUUAGCCUUCCGCCACAAACUUCCUUGGCACUGGCUGAAGGUGUCACAGCCCUCCAGGGACAUGAGAGGCAGCGAAACUGCAUUGUAGUCUACAUACCAAUGUUUUGAUACUGGUGUGCAAAGGGCCUCAACUCCAGAGCCAGGUACAGCGCCAGAUGUAGUGCAAGAACUCGAUACCACAUUUGGAUCGACAAGCAUCCCCGACCCACAUGAUGCUAUACUGCAUAUGUCGGUCAUGGUGGAAAGUUCUGACGAUGAAGAUGAUGAACUCAGCAGCCCUCAAGGGUCCCAUGAUUCAAGACCCUAUAUACAUCAACUGUGAGUCCGUGGCCAUGGGCAAAGAAGCAAUGUUUUAACUGCUUCUUUUGUCUGAAGAAGGGCAGGCUCUGCCCGAAAGCUCACGCAUUAAAUAGUCACUCUGACUUCUU